rnacentral:rRNA from 1 species
CACGUAGGGCGCAAGCGUUGUCCGGAAUUAUUGGGCGUAAAGAGCUCGUAGGCGGUCUGUUACGUCUGCUGUGAAAACCCGGGGCUUAACCCUGGGCUUGCAGUGGAUACGGGCAGACUAGAGGCAGGUAGGGGAGAAUGGAAUUCCCGGUGUAGCGGUGAAAUGCGCAGAUAUCAGGAGGAACACCGGUGGCGAAGGCGGAUCUCUGGGCCUUACCUGACGCUCAGGCGCGAAAGCUAGGGGAGCGAACUGG